UCCAGAAAUUCGGGCUGGGGAUGCAGCUCAGUGGGAGGAUGCUUAUCUAAUAUGCAGUAGGCCCUGGGUUUGACCCUCAGUCCAGCAACAAACAAAAAGCAAUGUAUUGUCUCACCAUUCCAGAGGCUAAAGUCCAAAACCGAGGUAUGGGCAGAGCCACUCCGGAGCCUGCCUACCUCUCGGGCUCCCUGACCCUGGCACAGCUGCUCAUGCGUCUGUCCUCAUGCAAGGUCUUCUCUAAGUACACUACAGGGUCUCGCUAUGUAGUCCAGGCUGGCCUCGAACUCAAGUUCUAGAGACGAAACCCUAGCCCAGCAUAGGACAGGCAGCCCUGUGCCCCAUUUCACAGAGGAGCCACAGGAGCCCUUGCCCGGCUGUGCGCUGCUCUGCCCACCGCCAAGAGCACCCCGGCAACGCCCCCUUCCAUGUGGCUGGCAGUGCAUCUCCAGGACCAAAUCCUGCAGUGGAGCCGCCAGGUCAGGCUGCAUCGUGCUUGGCGAGAGGUCGCCAGUUCCCCUUGCAGCUUCCGUUCACCAGCGCGGUGAGUCCUGUUUACCACAGCCCGCAGAGGCCAUCGGCCACUUCCGUCCCCAGGUCCAGGAUGUUGUCUCUGCCCUCUCCCCUUCCUCCGGCCUUCCUGCCUCCCCCGCUCCUUCACGGUCUCACUCCUGGGUGCCCUGGCUCCCCGCCUCGGUGGAUCCUGCCGUCGCCACCCCUCCCCGGCACAGGCCUGGAGUGGCAGCAGCUUGGGUGUGAGACGCACUUGGAGUGGCAAAGGCGCGACACUCACAGGCCCAGCUGAGGCGUUGGGAGCCGGAGAGCGAAGGAUGCCGGACGGCGGUGGCGAGGACAGCAGCAGUCCCGAGUUCCAGGACUCGUGCCCGGGCUGAGCGGCCGGUGACACCAGGUAACCUGGCAAGUCCUAUUCACCGAGGCUUUGCGAGUCUCGGGGAGAGGUCCCUGUGAGGUCCCCCACACCCCUGCUUCUCUGUGAGUCAGGGCCCCAUUCUGUGGUCCAGGCUGAACUCCAACUUGCAAUGUCCCUGCCUUGGCUUCCCAGAGUGCCAGGGUUACAGGUGUAUGGCGCCAGCCCCUCCUGGGCUUCUCGAGGGCAGGUGCAAAUGUGGCUCACUCAGGUGACUUCAAAAGGCCUGUGAGCUCCCAGACUACUCAGGAACUGACCUUGGCCUGCAAAUGAUCCCGGUAAGCAGGCCUGGGCCGGAGGGCAGAGGCUGGCAGCUGCCAGGAGAAAGCUCGGGGCUGUCACUGCCCCUCCCACGCGCCUGCAGAGGUGUCGAGGGAGGGAAGAGCGAAGCCUGCCCCCCUCCCCCACCCCGGGACUAUGCAGAUGAGACUCACAGUGCUAUGGAAGCCGAGCUGCUAAGGCUCAGGAGGGAGAGCGGGAAGGGAAGGGAGAGGAAGCCAGGUGGGGGGAGGCAGGGCUUCUGCAGCACCAGGCUAGGGGUCACUAAGUCUGGGGAGGGCCGGAUAGGUCAGGUGCACGGGCACCAGAUUCCUGGAGGCAGAGAGGGGGGCUGGGCUAGCCCUCUCCCCUGUCCCCACCCCCAGGACCCAGCAGGAGCAGCUCUGUGCGCAGUGGGACUUUCCCGGGUGGCACACUCAGGAGGCAGCUGCAGCACAGAAAAGGGGUGGGUUCAGAGGCCAGGUUCAGAGUCAGACAACUUCAGCUGUGUGUGUGUGUGUGUGUGUGUGCAUGCGUGUGUGCAUGCGCAUGCACACGCAGGCCCACAUUCUAAGCACAGGCCAGGCCACGGAGUGCCCACCCAGACCUUGGCUGCUGGUGUAAAAGGCAAUAGUAACUUAGUUAACGCAACAAUGUAUUAAAGCAAGAAUAGCACACAAUGCUCCCAACCUAUGUGCUCCAAAUGGUUCACGCUGCUGAGUUUCACAUCCGGAUAUCCUUCCAGGGAUGCCCCCUGGGCCUGGCCACCCUCCUUCCAUUCGGCCUCCCCGGGGGGCUUGGUGCUCAAGUGCACGGGACAGGGCUGCUCUUAGGUCAGGAUCCGGACGGCGCUGGCUGAGACGCACAAGCAGCUGGCGAGACCUUUCGGUAAGGGAACAGGGCGUGCAGAAUAUAAUGCACAGUGGCUACGUCCAUGGCUGAGCUCUCCACUCCCCACCCCCAGUUCCCGAUUUCCAAGGUAGAAGGUGGUGGGGGCACAAAUGAUGGGGUCCUUGCCAGCCCUGGGCCCACACCAGAGGCCCCAGCCACCUGCCUGUGGCUCUUGGCCAUGGUAACUCUGCAGCAUGAAUGACGCCACUUACCUGCUGCACCAGGCCCAGCUGCUUUGCCUGGGAGUCAGGGGGACCCAUCUGGAGCAGUGCGGUCUGGGCACUGGUGGGACAGCGAGGCCUGCGAAGUGCCAGCCACCUUCGUCUUCUUGUCUUUCCCACAGCAGCCGGGGCCAAAGUUCCCAGGAGCUGGGGCCCUCCCAGAGCCCGCUGUGGGACGCACUGUUCCAGGCCGUGUGGCUCCCCAGGCCCUCUGCCCAGGAGGAGGCAGCUCUGUGCCUCAGGAAAUGGCGGCCUAGCCCCAGGCUCACCAUGGCGGUGGUGGCAGGGGGUCCCUGGGGCCCCCAGCACAGGACUAAGUAGGUUCAGUGAAGCCCAGAAAGAACUGGACUCCAAGCCAGAAGAAUGGCCAAGCCCUGGGCCACUCAAUCUCUGUCCCGUGUUCCUCCUCAGAACAGUGGGCAGCGAUCCCACCCGGUGCUCACCGUCAGGGGUAAAUGUCAGACUGGGUGCCAGGCCCUAGGGUGUCUUCACUCGGCUGUCGUGCGUGUCCGCUGCAUGGUGGGCAGCUACUACUCCUGCCUCGCUUUCCCCCAGACAGGGAGCUCUGUGCACCGAGGGCUCCAGGCCAGGGCUGGCCUUCCCAGGCGAACAGUCCUAUUGCUUCCCAGGGUAAUGGGGAGCCACAGAGGGUAGGAAGUGAGUUCAGUGGGCAAGGAGCCAGCAGCGGCAGACGGGGCACUGAAGGUCAAUCAAUCAGGCCAGUAAGAUGGCAGCAAACCUGGCUGGGUGUACCACAGCGGCGCCCUGUGGAUGUCACCUCCAGCAGCCACCCAUUGUCCCACGGGAGCUGCAGGGAUGGGCUUGUCAUGUAGGGAGAGGACCAGCUCUGAGGACCUGCUUGUGGCCCCUGGGCUGGGCUAAGAUCAGCUGAACCCAAAUGGAGCUGCUGCCUGGGGGCCUCGGAAGGCUGGGGGCAGAGGUACAGGAGACCCCAAAGGGUUGAGGAGCCACCACACCACUAACAGCAGACGGCUCAGUGUCCCUCCCCACAUGCAGAGCCUAAGCCAGGCCCCACUGCUUACAGCUGCCUCUGUCACCCUGGCCAUUGUCCUCUACCCCCGUCAAGUCUGCAUCCUCACCACAGCAGCCACAGGGACCCCAUUAAAGUCAGACCUCCAGUGCCUUCCAGUUCACCCGCAGGAAAAGCUGAAGUCCCUACCCAGGCCCACAAGCUGCCUGUGCCUUGCCCUUCUGCUCAGCCCUCCUUCCACUCACAUUGGUCCCCUGUGUCCCUGGACACACAGAGCCUCCACCAACCCCCAGGUCUUGCUAUGUAGUCCAGGCUGGCCUUGAACUCACUAUGUAGCCCUGGGUGGCCUCCAACUCCCAGCGAUCCUCCUGCCUCAGCCUCCCAUAUGUCAGAGCUUGUCUUUAGAGCUGUCAUUCAGAUUAAAAACUCCAGGACAGCAGGGACUUCCAGUGGCAGAAGCAUUACCCAGGCUCCCGGCAGAUGUUCAGGGAAUGUGACACUCAUGCCGCCUCUCUGCUCAGGGCAGAAACUUGAGGGAAGCGGGGUCCCCAGGCACCCACAGGCAGGGUGCUGCCCCCCUUCCCUCUCGAGUCCCCAAACACAAGGGGAAGGCUCCCGGCGUGUCAGAUCCCUUCAUCUCGAGGGUCAAGGGGGAAAGGGGAGCCUUCCCCUGCUCGCUUGCUCCGGGGCCUCUAUGCCCCCAGACUCUCCUGACCACUGCCCACCCCAGGACACAGAAGCUGGAUCUCCUCUGUCCCUGGGCUGAGGUCAAGGGCUGCUGAACUCCGAAUGGCAGGAGGGCCCCAGAUUUGCCCUCCUGCUCAGCUCCCCCAGGGGAGCCCCACCCUGUGCAGCAGGCCUGAUGGACCUCAGUUCUCAAGGUGCUUAGCUGAGGGCCAACCUCGCACUGCCCACAGCGGGCUUGGGGGUCUCCCCUGCCUGCUUCCUCAUCCGGAACCCCCUCUUCCUACUGGGGAGAACUCACACCCUUCAAGUUCAAAUAUCACCUCCAAGACCAAGGCCUCCCCAGCCACCACCGCCAGCCACCCCGGCUCACCCCACAGUGAAGCCUGAGCUUCCAAGUUCUCUCCUGAGCCCUUGAGGCCAGGCCACUGUGUCCUGCAGUCAGCUGCCUCUGGCUACCAGGUCCACCCUAGGGCAGCAGGAUGCAGGUGAGGGGCCACGGUGUGGCCUUAAGGAAAGCCCUGCAGUUCUCUGGGCCUCAGUCUCGGCCUGUACAAUGGGGUGAGGCGGCACCCACUGUAGGCCCUGAUGGGAUCAGACUGCACAGCUGCCCCUAAGCCCUCUGUGGGCAGUGCGAGGUUGGCCCUCAGCUAAGCACCUUGAGAACUGAGGUCCACCAGGCCUGCUGCACGGGGUGGGGCUCCCCUCGGGGACCUGAGCAGGAUGGCAUAUCUGGGGCUCUCCUGCCACUCAGGGUUCAGCAGCCCGUGACCUCAGCCUGGGGACUGCUGGCCUCUGGCCCCUUCCCACCUCACCCACUGUGGGUUUGGAAAUUCCCAGAGAAGCGGAAGUUUAAGGAGAGGAGCCUGUCGCAGCGAUGACACUUUAAUUAAAUAAAACUGAAAAGCUAGGGCUGGGCUCCAUUUCCCCUUUCCUUCUGGGGGAAGAGGAAGGAGGGUCAAGGUGAAACAGAAGACAAAUUCUUCCCUCAACACCCCUCCUCCCCACAGGGCAGGGCCCUGGGAGCCCUGACAAGCAGAUCCACUGAGCCGGGCCCGCCACCCCACCCCGCUGAAUGGGGCAGCUUGGUGACCCCGAGACCCCCACCCACUCAGGCCCAGCGAGAGUCAGGCCCCGCCCUGCCCCUUAGUGUUGCUGGGUAAAACAGGGCUCCUGAGGUCAGGUUCUCAGGGGCAGCCUGGAAAGGGCCAGUCCACUUCCCCCAGAGGUCAGUCCCCUCAAGGAAAGGCCCUGAGCGUGAGCGCUGAUGCAUGGGUGUCAGCAUGGCUUCCCCCAGCACCAGUGCUGAGCAGCCAGAGCCAGGGUUAGGCAAGGCCCAACCCAACAACAGGUCCCAGACCUCCCUCCCUCAGCUGUUCAGGUCAGGUGUUUUGUCAGCAAUGAAAAGCCAAGGAAUCCAGGCCUCUGUCACCUCCUCUUGGAAGCCACUUCUGGCCUCCCUCCCUUGGGCUCCCGGAGAACCACGUCCACCUCUCCAGAACAGAGGCUUACAACAUAACACUGACCCACUUCCGGGUUCAUUUUCCUGACAUCAGGUCUGGGUCUUUGGCACCCUUGAACCUUGAAUCCUCAAUAACAACCUCAGCCCCCGCCCCCCGCCCCAGUGCCCUUACUCUAGCACUUUAUUUAAUGGCAAAGAGCCAGGCUUCAUGGCUCUGGGACAGAAUGAGAAGUGAGCCACAUUAACUGUCCUUAAGUUGCUUAUGUAUUUAAAAAUCAUAACCAAUCAAUGAGUUUUUGGGUUGUUUUGAACAGUACUGAAGAUUAAACCCAGGGACUCAUGCAUUUCUACCACUGAGUUUACAUUCCGGCCCUUUAAAUUUUUUAUUUUGAGCCACAUUCUCAUUAAAUUGCCUAGGCUGGCCUCAAACUUGUGAUCCUUCUGCCUCAGCCUCCAGAUGAGCUGGGUCACAGGUAUGAGCCACUGCACUUGUUUAGACCGUUCUUGUGUAGGUCAUGGUAACCCACAUUUACAGACUGGGCACUUGUGCGCUUGGCAGGUUCAAGCCCUACGCGUACUUCAUUUAAGACUCACAACAACUCUACAGGCAGGCAUGUUACUGUCUCUGCUUUACAAAUGAGGAGAGUGAGACACUGAGGUUAUCAAGGUCACAAGACAAGGUAAGAACCCAGUCAGUCGGAUUCAGGAGUCUGCAUUCUCAGCUAUCCUAUUAGGAGCAAGAUCCUGAGGGGACAGAGAGCCAGUUAGCCCCGGAGGCGGCGGAGGUGACCCAGAGAUGAGGUUGCCUGAGCAGAGAACUGAAGAGCAAGGGGAAGGGAGCCCAGCAGAUGGGAGAAAGCAGAGGGCUGCUGCGUGCAAGGGAACAGAAACAUGGGACAGCAAGGUGUGAGCAGUGCGUACCCCGAGGCACUCUAUUACUCAAACUUAAGGAACGCGUGAGAAAUUCUAGGGAGCUCUGUAAACUGGGCUAAGGAUUCAGCCUUUUAAAAUAGGCAACAGGAAGCAGUCAGAAUUACAAACAAGGAAGUGAUACAGUCAGAUUUGUGUUCUAAGAUGCAUGCAAGAGUUACAGUAAGGAGACUGGGUUGCAGAGGUCGUGAUUAGAAGCCGCUGCCAAAGCCAAUGGCGCAGGCCUGUGAUCCCAGCACUAGGGAGGCUGAGGGAGGAGGAUCGCUGUGAGUUCCAGGCCAGCCUGCGCUACAUAAUGAGAAACUAUUUUUUUUAAAAAGCUUGUAGGAAGCUACUGCAGUCUCCGGAGAAACACAUCCACAGAGGAGACAGUGGACACAGAGGACAGGGAGAAAGACUGGAGGUUCGGGAAGUUAGCUGUCUGCUAGGUCACGUCUUAGAUGUGGGAACGGAAAAAGAGGAAGUGGAAGGCAAUGCCCGGGUUAAUGCCGGGACAGGGCAGCAGGGAGAGAUCGGUUCAGCUGCAGGGCUGCCCGGCGGCGGACGUGUGCCGCGGGCAACUGCAGGCUGUGUGGAGCCCCGUGGGUCUUUAUCGCAGGAGAGCUGCACCCUGGGGAAGAGGCGGGACCCCGAGUCAGGGCCCAGAGGGCCCGUGAGGGUGCUCUGACGGCGCUCAGAAGCCAGGACGAUUCGGAGCUGGGGCGUCCGUCAGGGACGGCGACGAUCACGCACCUCUAGGACUCGGGGCGGGUACAGGGCACUUUAGAUUACAAAGUUAUUCCCGGCCAUUUCCAAAGGAAGUCGGGAGAGCCAGCAGACGACAGUGAAACGCAGACCUAACGGAACGCGCAUAGGUUUUCUUCCUCGUUCUCAGAUCCUGAGCCUCCCGCAAAGCCCAGAGGCAGCCCCCCGCUUCUCCCGCGUCGGUCCCCGUGCCCCUGCUCCCCCAGCCCUCUCGGGCGCGCAGCCGCCGAACCCCAGUCCCACGCCGCGAGCAGCUCGGUGGAGCAGAGGAAGGGGGCGGAACCCAGAGCGCGGGGGGCGUGGGACGGGUCGGACCCAACCAAGAACGGACACCGGGCGGGGAAUCAGCAUCCGGUGGUGAGAGAUCGUCUUGGUACCGCCCCCGGGCCCGGGACGGCUGGAG